UACGAAGGGGGCUAGCGUUGUUCGGAAUCACUGGGCGUAAAGCGCACGCAGGCGGAUCGUUAAGUCAGGGGUGAAAUCCCGAGGCUCAACCUCGGAACUGCCUUUGAUACUGGCGAUCUUUGAGUCCGGGAGAGGUGAGUGGAACUCCGAGUGUAGAGGUGAAAUUCGUAGAUAUUCGCAAGAACACCAGUGGCGAAGGCGGCUCACUGGCCCGAUACUGACGCUGAGGCACGAAAGCGUGGGGAGCAAACAGG
rnacentral:rRNA from 1 species